GCCACUCCUAGCUAUGUAACCAAAUGAAAAGUACACAUGUGCUCCGAGAGACACACACGGGAAUAUUCAGAACCUUUUCUGUAAUAGCUAUAAACUGAAAGCAGCACAUGUCCAACAGGAAAAUGAAUAAACAAAUACAGCAUAUUCAUACAAUAGAAUCCUAUACAGAGCAACUAAAAUAACAGCUAGAGGCAACAACACGGAUGGAUCUUACAAGCCUGAUGUGGAACAAGAGAAGCCUGUCCAGAGACUAAGUGAAUGGAUUUAUGUGGUAUGCAAAAACAGGCAAAACCAAAUCAUAGUGUUUUGGGAGGUAUGCUUACAUAGUAAAGCUCUGAAGGAAAACAAAGAAAAGGCGACUAAAGAGAAUGACAACUUACACAAUGCAGAAUCCUGGAUUGGAUCCUAGAUCCAAUCAACGUGUAGGGAUGCUGAUCCCACUCCAAGUCUAGAACAUCAUUCACAUCUUGGACAGCAAAUUUCACAUACUGAUGAAGGCGCCGAAUUUCCUAUAAGAAAAAAAUUAAAAGUGUAUCAUGCGUAUAAUCCCAGCACUUUGGGAGGCUGAAGCAGAAGAAUCACAUGAGCCCAGGUGUUUGAGACCAGCCUGAGCAACACAUCAUUCUGCAAAAUCUACAAGUGGAUAGCGCACCACCACUACCUGGGCCCACUGUGUCCCUGCAAGAAAGACAACGUGAAAGAAGGUUCUUGUAUGCAAAGGUGCUUUGCUCCUUCUGACAGUUUUUCAAAGUCAAACAGAAAGUACUUCUGGUGAAUCACAAUUUAGUGUCAUCUGCAUGUUUUUCUUUCAUAACUGAGGAUGGAUUAUCAUUAAAUUGUAUAGAAGUUGUUUCAAGCAACAGGAAUAAAACAAAGA
rnacentral:lncRNA from 10 species